UAGGGGGCGAGCGUUAUCCGGAUUUACUGGGUGUAAAGGGAGCGUAGACGGCGAUGCAAGUCUGGAGUGAAAACCCAGGGCUCAACCCUGGGAUUGCUUUGGAAACUGUAUAGCUGGAGUGCAGGAGAGGCAGGCGGAAUUCCUAGUGUAGCGGUGAAAUGCGUAGAUAUUAGGAGGAACACCAGUGGCGAAGGCGGCCUGCUGGACUGAGACUGACGUUGAGGCUCGAAGGCGUGGGGAGCAAA
rnacentral:rRNA from 1 species